rnacentral:rRNA from 1 species
AUCGCGUCGCCCCCAACACCGUGCAUGAAACAUUGCCGGUUGUCGGAGGGGCGGAUAUUGGCUUCCCGUGCUUCGGUGCGGCUGGCCUAAAUGCAAGUCCUUCCGGCGGACACCACGACAAGUGGUGGUUGAUUACCUCAACUCAGUUUGUCGCACGUUGACCCGUCGGACGAGGAGACUUCCUCGACCCUAAUGCAUGAUCUUCACGACGAAUGCCACGACCGC